AUACUGUGAAAUUUUAUUCAGACUAUAUGUGUUCAUGGUUAUAGCUUAUUUUUCCUGAAUCCAUUGACUCUUGAGAUUGAGAGCACACUCACCAGUUGAUGGAUUACCACAGAAGCUAAGAUCAUAUAAACAACAAAUAACUGCUUAGAAAGACAGAAAAUAUACUUAUUUCAAUCAAUAUUCAUUUGAUUGUACUGGAGAGGUUCCACAUAAGCUUUUUAAAAAAUUCAGUGAAAUGUGACUGAUGAAAGUAUGUGAUAAAGUAAUAAGUAUUGUAAUGGUGUAUCAUAUAUUCAGAGUAAGUAUUCUAUAGUCAGAGUGUUUUGGAAACAUUUUAAAUUAUCAGGCCACCUUAAUUCUGGCUGGUUAUAGGUAAAUUUUGAAAUCAAAAUGAAUUUUUCACGAAUUAUUGUAUAGCAUUUGAAUAGUUUUCACAAAAACUGCCUGUUACAAAAUAUUGCCCAAUGUUUUAUGGAUACUUAAAAUACAUUUUUUUUGUUUGUUUUAUACAAGUAAUUUUUGUCAUUUGAAUGUUUUUGUAUUUU
rnacentral:lncRNA from 1 species